CAAGGUGUAGCUUACAUAUUAAAGCCCUCAACUUACAAUUGAACCACGUCUAUCACACGACCACCCUGA
rnacentral:tRNA from 1 species